GGGAGAAGCGUUUUGCCGACGCAGCUUCUCUCCUUCUGUCCUUGAUGACGUCUCGGAUUGCCCCUCGGUCUUUCUGGAUGACUCUGCUGACAGACGCCUUGCCCCUUUUGGAACAGAAACAGAACAGACUUAUGAGUUGAUGCGGUGUCUGGAGGACUUGACGUCAAGAAGACCUGUGCAUGGAGAAUCUGAUACCGAGCAGCUCCAGGAUGAUGACAUAGAGACCACCAAGGUGGAAAUGCUGAGACUUUCUCUGGCACGAAAUCUUGCUCGGGCAAUUAUAAGAGAAGGCUCACUGGAAGGUUCCUGAGAACUGCUUCAAUGUGGUAUCUUUGUAUGGCAAUGUAUAUAGAUUUUUUUAAAAGAAUAAAUGUUGUUUUGCAAAUGU
rnacentral:lncRNA from 1 species